ACCUUGGGUGGUGUAGUUGGUGGCGCAUGGACUUAGUAAUUAUAAGUCCUAGGUUCAAGUCCCAGUUAGGGUA